GGGGCUGACAGGUUUCGACGUCAGAACUGCUGGACGGGUUUGCGACCCGAGUUGCUCAGACUCGCUAAACGGGGCAACCACAAAGAAUUGCCGAUGAGCAGUUCGCUCUCGCCGCCUGAUUUUCAGGUGAGUGGAGAGUCAUCGUGACCAGUAAUGGCGCACGGGGCCAAUCCAUCACAGCCCGGCAACAGAAGUGAGGGAUGACGGCGGGAAAGACCGCUGACGGCGCGAAAGACCGCUGACCGUUCGGAAAGACGAUCCGUGGCCCUUCGGGGCAGCCGACCCGCCGGUGGACCAGCGUCAGGUUCAGAGUCGGGAAUGGUCGUAUCGGGUCCGCUCACAGGCUGAUGGACGGGGGUUCGAUUCCCCCCAGCUCCACCA
rnacentral:tmRNA from 1 species